rnacentral:tRNA from 1 species
GGGGUCAUAGCUCAAUGGUAGAGCACUUGCCUAACAUGUAUGAGGCACUGGGUUCAAUCCUCAGUACCACA